UACGUAGGUGGCAAGCGUUGUCCGGAUUUACUGGGCGUAAAGAGCGCGCAGGCGGUCGAUCAAGUCGAGUGUGGAAGCCCCCGGCUCAACUGGGGAGGGUCAUUCGAUACUGAUCGACUCGAAGGCAGGAGAGGGUAGUGGAAUUCCCGGUGUAGUGGUGAAAUGCGUAGAUAUCGGGAGGAACACCAGUGGCGAAGGCGACUACCUGGCCUGUUCUUGACGCUGAGGCGCGAAAGCUAGGGGAGCAAACGGG
rnacentral:rRNA from 1 species